UACGUAGGGUGCAAGCGUUAAUCGGAAUUACUGGGCGUAAAGCGUGCGCAGGCGGUGAUGUAAGACAGAUGUGAAAUCCCCGGGCUCAACCUGGGAACUGCAUUUGUGACUGCAUCGCUAGAGUACGGCAGAGGGGGAUGGAAUUCCGCGUGUAGCAGUGAAAUGCGUAGAUAUGCGGAGGAACACCGAUGGCGAAGGCAAUCCCCUGGGCCUGCACCGACGCUCAUGCACGAAAGCGUGGGGAGCAAACAGG
rnacentral:rRNA from 1 species